rnacentral:misc_RNA from 1 species
AAACCGAACCGUGGCCACCCCUAGAGUGAACCCAUAGAGAGUGGGCCAAUAAUCUUCUCCAUCAGGGUGGCUACAGUAAGACAGAGUAGUAAAGCUGUGUUCUAAAUGAAAAUAAUUAGUUUAAAUUUUUGUUUAUUUUUGACUUAUUUAAAAUAAAAUUAUGCUUUUAGAAAUAGUCUAAUAUUUUUAUAAAUAUUAACUAAUUAUUACAAAAUAUGUAGUUAU